AAAACUUUAAGUUAAAUAAACUAAGAGCCUUCAAAGCCCUAAAUGAAUAAAUUUCAAGUUUUG
rnacentral:tRNA from 1 species